rnacentral:rRNA from 1 species
AUUGAACGCUGGCGGCAUGCCUUACACAUGCAAGUCGAACGGCAGCACGGGAGCAAUCCUGGUGGCGAGUGGCGAACGGGUGAGUAAUAUAUCGGAACGUGCCCAGUAGUGGGGGAUAACUGCUCGAAAGAGCAGCUAAUACCGCAUACGACCUGAGGGUGAAAGGGGGGGAUCGCAAGACCUCUCGCUAUUGGAGCGGCCGAUAUCAGAUUAGCCAGUUGGUGGGGUAAAGGCCUACCAAGGAAACGAUCUGUAGUUGGUCUGAGAGGACGACCAGCCACACUGGGACUGAGACACGGCCCAGACUCCUACGGGAGGCAGCAGUGGGGAAUUUUGGACAAUGGGCGCAAGCCUGAUCCAGCAAUGCCGCGUGCAGGAAGAAGGCCUUCGGGUUGUAAACUGCUUUUGUCAGGGAAGAAGUCCUCUAGGUUAAUACCCUUGGGGGGAUGACGGUACCUGAAGAAUAAGCACCGGCUAACUACGUGCCAGCAGCCGCCGUAAAAC